rnacentral:rRNA from 1 species
CGCGGCCUAUCAGCUUGUUGGUGGGGUAGUGGCCUACCAAGGCGACGACGGGUAGCCGGCCUGAGAGGGCGACCGGCCACACUGGGACUGAGACACGGCCCAGACUCCUACGGGAGGCAGCAGUGGGGAAUAUUGCGCAAUGGGCGAAAGCCUGACGCAGCGACGCCGCGUGAGGGAUGACGGCCUUCGGGUUGUAAACCUCUUUCAGCAGGGACGAAGCGCGAGUGACGGUACCUGCAGAAGAAGCACCGGCUAACUACGUGCCAGCAGCCGCGGUAAUACGUAGGGUGCGAGCGUUGUCCGGAAUUAUUGGGCGUAAAGAGCUCGUAGGCGGUUUGUCGCGUCGACUGUGAAAACCUACAGCUUAACUGUGGGCUUGCAGUCGAUACGGGCAGACUUGAGUUCGGUAGGGGAGACUGGAAUUCCUGGUGUAGCGGUGAAAUGCGCAGAUAUCAGGAGGAACACCGGUGGCGAAGGCGGGUCUCUGGGCCGAUACUGACGCUGAGGAGCGAAAGCGUGGGGAGCGAACAGGAUUAGAUACCCUGGUAGUCCACGCCGUAAACGGUGGGAACUAGGUGUGGGGGGCUUCCACGUCCUCCGUGCCGUAGCUAACGCAUUAAGUCCCCGCC